CUAUGUGCAAGUUUAUUUUUUCUCUUAAAAAAUCUUCAGAUUUUCCUUUUUUUUUUCCUUGGCACUGAUCCUCCUACUUCAUACUUGAGUUAUACCAGUUGCCUUCUUACUGCUCAUCCCUGGCUCCAGUCUCUCUCUCUUCCCCUUCUAAUGUGUAUGUAUAUAUAUGUGUGUGUAUAUAUAUAUAAUCUGUUCAUAAUUUUAAAUAUCCAUGUUCAUUAUUUAUUCCUAUUCUCAAUAAGCUGAAUUAUUUCUCUCUGUUUCGAUUCUUCAGUCCAGUUUUUACAGCUCUCCCUAAUACCUCUCUCUUAGGACCUAUCACUUGGCCCCCUGUCCAGAGGUGCCCUCUGCUACUGACAUACUGAUCACCUCAUCAGUCUCUCUCUGGAUGUUCACACACGUUGUUCUCUGCAUCUGCAACUCUACUGCCUCUCUUCCACCCAGUGAAAUCUCCGUCUCUGAGGGCAAGCUUGAUAAAUCUUCUCUGAGCCAAUCUACUCCACAGAGUGCUUUCUCCUUUCUAAUCUCCCAGUUAUACUUCUAGUCAACACAGAAUUUGUUCUUAAUUGCUUAACUUCCUUUAAUUUCAUGCACACUAGGUUUUCUACUCCCAACUUGAUUGCAAGUUUAUUGAAAACAAGGUCUUCAUCUUACAGGUUAUUUGUAUUCCACAUUUCAUUGAUCAGAAUGACUGGUACAUAGUACAUGUUUAUUAAAUGUUUGAAUAAAUGUUACUAGGUUUUUUUUUUUUUUAAAGUUUAUAGAAAAGGCUUCUUUUAGUCAUUUUUUUCCUGGAAAUUUUUUUCUUUACAGACUCCCUUCUUUUACAGCUUAAACCUAGUGGUCUUGUUUUGAAUUCAUAGAAGUAAAAAUAAAAACUUUUUUAUGAACAUGAAAGUUGAUGUCCUUUUUCACCUUGUUGAAGUUUUGUUUUAAAAGUGUUCCACUGCAGUAAAGGAUUAAAUGCCUUUAUUAGAAUAAUUUACUCUCUAGUUACAGAUGUUACUGUUCUCUUGAACUCACUUUUGGAAUUCCUUUUUCUUAUUUCUUUUUAAAAGGGGAAUAAUAAAUGGAAGUACUAUUGAAGUCAAUUACUCUUGGGGUCACUGUCUAUUGAAAAAGAAUAUGUGUGAUCAGGGGGAUGAGCACAUCUCAGAAUAGGAAGCAGGUUUUCUGAUUAGACAUCCAGAAUCAUUUUGUGGGAGGGUGAGUUUUAAUAUUUGAAGGUUACAAAGGUGAACUCAAGCUGAGUGCAGUGUAUGAAAACAGCCUAUUUUUGCUAAGCAAAUUACCUUGGAAGUGAUUCAUUGUUGGAUUCAGGAAAGCUUACGCUGGCUCUGAGAGAAGGCGGGGAAACUGCAUUUUUUGCUAGGGAGUGCCAGUCAUCCAUCCAAGCCCAUCAAUCAAUAGUGGAUGUCAAAAAUGAGAUUGAAUGUCCUGAUUCCUCUGAUAAUGGCCAGGGAAAUGAAGAUGUCCAGAAGCAGAAAAGGCUUUGGAUUUCAACACUCUCCCCUAGGGAUGGAUUCUGCAGUACUUUCUCUAGGAUCACACUUAGUAUUCACUCCCAAACGUCCUCUUAGGAUCUCAAAGAAUUUUGCAUAAACCAUCCCAUUUAUUGUGUUUUUUUUUUUUUUUGGCAGAAAAAUCAUGUUGUAGGCUAUUUUUCUGAUUUUGGAGUGUUAAUAAACAGUUCAUACUCAGACUUAAGUAAAAUUUAUCCAGUAUUAACCAUAUGCCAAACACUGUGCGGUUUUUAUAGUUGCAUCUUUCAUGUAACUUUCUUGGUAACAUUGUUACUAUUACACAUUAUAAUAACAUUAAGUAGAUAUUAAUUCCUGGGAGUUCCCAUUGUGGCGCAGUGGUUAACGAAUCCAACUAGGAACCAUGAGGUUGCGGGUUUGAUCCCUGGCCUUGCUCAGUGGGUUGACGAUCUGGCAUUGUCAUGAGCUGUGGCAUAGGUCGCAGACGCAGCUCGGAUCCCGCAUUGCUGUGGCUCUGGCGUAGGUUGGUGGCUACAGCUCUGAUUAGACCCCUAGCCUGGGAACCUCCAUAUACCGUGGGAGCGGUCCUAGAAAAGGCAAAAAGACAAAAAAAAAAAAAAAAAAAAAAGAAUCAGAUUCCAGGAUGAAAAUGCGUGUUUUUGGACUUCAAGUCUCAUAUUUGUUAUAUGCUGCCCUGGAGAAAGUCUUGUAAGAGUGCAAAUCCCAUGAAAUGCAAAUUUCCUUCUAACUUAAACUAACAACCACUUGAGAUAAAGUGGGUGUGCUGAUCUAUGGCUCUGAUUCUCAUAUGUGAAUGAAGUGGGGUGUGAGCUGUGUGAUUUCAUGGUACAUAGUACAUGUUUAUUAAAUGUUUGUAACACAAACUGACUGGAAUUUGACUGAAAUUGUCUCAGGGUAUGAAACUUACAAACUUACCCAUAAGUGCACAUGGUAAAAUGGCCCUAGUCGGUCAUAGACUGGGACUAUCACAUUUGAGGACCUCAAGACACAUGAGGGCUGUGGUUGUGCCUUAAUUGAUCAAUAUGGUGUACUUCUGUUUGUUUCAACUGAUUUUGAGAUUACUAUUAGGCAGGCAAAUUCCCAUAAAUUUGUCCCUAGCCUCAUUACUCUCUGAUCAUUACUUACGGCCAACUCACACCAUUCUGUGACCUGCCUGAUCCCUGAAGACAUUUGAUCUUGAAUCCCUGAUUAAAGGCUUCAAAAUCCAUUACAGUUUCACUCUGGGAUAUAGUGUUUUCAUUGUCUGAGGAUUCCAACCUUCACCUCUCUAGAGGACAGUAUAAUCAUGCAACUGAUUAAUUUCACUAAAGCCUAGACUCUGCUAGGUGCAGGGGACAGAGUUACGUUUAAGACAUACUUCUUAGCCUCCAGGAGCUCUCAGACUAGUGAUGGGAUAGUUACGUAAAAAUGUAUAUCCUCCUAUAUCAGAGGUAUAAACUUGUAAAGAGAGGUCCUACACUAAAGGUAUGUACAGUAUAGAAUGAAGCCCUGCUGUACAGUACCAGGAACUAUAUCCAGUCUCUUGGGAUAGACCAUGAUGGAAGGUAAUAUGAGAAAAAAGAGUGUGUGUGUGUGUGUGUGUGUAUGACUGGGUCACUAUGGUGUACAGCUGAAAUUGACACAACAGUGUAUAUAAACUACACUCUAAUAAAAAGAAAUCUUAAAUUAUUAGCACACACAAUCCCCAAAAAUAGAGUCUUCAACAGAGUAUGUAAUUUCUGAAUUGUGUCUUGAAAUUACAGCAGAAGUUUGCCAAGGAAAUGGGGAAGAAAGGCUAUUUUUGACACAUGAGAAAGCUUAAAUGUAUUAAAGCGUGUGUCUUGAUUGGGUAAGAACAAGCUUUCUGGUUGUGAUUAUGACAUCCUGUGCAUGGGAAUAAAGGUUAAAGUUUAAAUAAGAAAAAGAAUGUUAUAUAGAAUGUGAAGGAUUUUAUAUGUUGUACUAAAAAGUUUAGAUUUUCUCCUGUAGGUCAUGGGGAAUUAUUAUAUAAUUUUUAUUGAUGACAUAACAUAAUCAGUUUAUUUUUUUGGAAGAAACAUUUGGAGUUAAAAUUAGAAAGGAAAGACAAGACAGAGAUCACGUUAGGAGCUUAUUCAAUAGCCCAGGUCAAAAAUAUGAGGGCUUGAACAAAGGAAAUGGCAAUGUAGAUGAAGAAGCAUAGUUUCAAGGGAUUAUUAGGAGGUAGAAUGGAUCAGAUUGGGUAAGGGAUAGAAGAGUAGGCUAAUGCACAAUGAUCCAGGGUAAAAAUGGACUGGUACCAUACUAUGGUUUCACCCAGGGGUGAUCAUAACAGACAGUGUUAAGGGGCAUUCUCCCAGUGGGUGGAACUUGGGGCAGUGCACUUGUUUAUCCACUUUGUGUAGAGAGAGAAGUGACCCAGGAUAAAGACAUACAUAAACUCUUUGGCUGUGGUGAAUGGCUUGGUUGGUUGAUCAGGGCGCUAGAAGGAGCAAAAUAGGAAGAUUAUAAACAAGAAGGUCUGGGGAAGAAAAAUGUAGAGAGACCUAUGGGAGUGGACACAAACUGUGAGGAUUGUUGUAUGUUUAUGUUCACCAGACAGUGUCUCCUUCAGAAGACCACCAAACAGCCAAAUGGAUAGGAUAAUAGAGAUGUCAGUCAGCCUCUGUCCCUGGCUUUCCCUGUGUUUACACAGUAGUUUCCUAAAUGAAGCAGGUAAGGUGGUAGAGAAAGAAGUCCUGCAUAGGCCUCCUUGUACAAAGGCUGACCUAACUUCUGCUGCUGUUGAGUAUCUGAACUUUCAGUAACAGAGACUGAUGCUGAACCCCUUGAUAAAGUACCAUAGCUUACGGAGACCAUCUAAUUACUUGGAGGCAACUCUGGUGAAUCUCUCCCAUUCUACCUUGGAAAGGAAGGUGUUUGAUUCUGAUUUGAACUGACGCACAUUUUGAGUAUGAGUUUCCCUUCCUACUCACAGGGUCUCAGCCCAGUGUUACUAUCUGAGGCCUCACAAAAUGUGUGAUUUACUAAUAUGGCAUGUUAUGUAACUGUCUCAGAUCAAGGAACCAUUGUUCAGCAAAGGAGUUAUGUCAGUGGGCAUGUACUACGGAAACUGUUGGUCCUUGCAGGUUGAAAGGUACGGCUGUGAGAAUGGGAUGUUUUCUUUCAGAAGAUGGUAUAUACACUUUUUGUCUUAGGCCAUUGUGUGGUAAUGUGUCUGCAUUGAAUGGUAAGGAAUUGAAAUAGAAGUGGUUCCAAUUGCCAUGACUUCUAAUUACUCAUUUGAGAGAUUUUGUAUUUUUUAUUCUUUUGUCUUUGUGAGUCCCACAAAAUUUUAAGGCACUGCUACCACUUGGUUACUUUGUGGUCAGUAUGUUAGAAGACCACUAAACAACGAUAACUGAAUCCAAUUGUCAUGAGGAGGUGGACUGCUGCUACAUCCUGAAGCAUAGAAAAAUAUGGUUAGGACUUAAGAAUUGUACUGGCGUAUCUUUUUAACUGCGAACGAAAAAGUACAGCAACUACGAUCUGAAAGGAACCAAGUCUUCAGGGCACAGGAGUUUUAGGGAUGAAGAUUUGGGUAACUCCCCUUAGGCAAGCCACCUAAACUAGCAGAAGUAUCAGCUAAUAUGGAGAAUCAUCUAAUAUGGGUAGUGAAAAAGGGAGAUGAUGAGUACUAGUUAUUGGCCCAGGACCAUCUAUAGUCCUGAGUGGGAGCAGUAAUUUCUGCCACUAACUGUUUUCUGAGAAUUUUUUUUUUUAGAAACUGUGGUGAACUAGAGUCCUAGAGAAGCUGUGCCUGGUUAGUGUGAACCAAUAUAAGAAGUAAGUGAAUCCAGGCAGUGCAAGUGUUGGAUUAGAUACCUUGCCCUGCCUAUAUUCCCUUCACCACUGUACCAAUCUCACAGUUGCUGUUACUG
rnacentral:lncRNA from 1 species